UACGGGGGGAGCAAGCGUUGUUCGGAUUUACUGGGCGUAAAGGGCGCGUAGGCGGCGUGACAAGUCAGUUGUGAAAUCUCCGGGCUUAACCCGGAACGGUCAAGUGAUACUGUCGUGCUAGAGUACAGAAGGGGCAACUGGAAUUCUCGGUGUAGCGGUGAAAUGCGUAGAUAUCGAGAGGAACACCUGCGGCGAAGGCGGGUUGCUGGGCUGAUACUGACGCUGAGGCGCGAAAGCCAGGGGAGCGAACGGG
rnacentral:rRNA from 1 species